rnacentral:rRNA from 1 species
UACGGAGGGUGCAAGCGUUAAUCGGAAUUACUGGGCGUAAAGCGCGCGUAGGCGGUUACAUAAGUUGGAGGUGAAAGCCCAGGGCUCAACCUUGGAAUUGCUUUCAAAACUGUGUGACUUGAGUACAGCAGAGGAUAGUGGAAUUUCUAGUGUAGCGGUGAAAUGCGUAGAUAUUAGAAGGAACACCAGUGGCGAAGGCGACUGUCUGGGCUGAUACUGACGCUGAGGUGCGAAAGCGUGGGGAGCAAACAGG